rnacentral:rRNA from 1 species
CUACACAUCUCUCUCCCUCACCCCUCCUUCUCCACCUCCAGACGCCGCCACGGCCAGGCUGGCGUGGUGGUGUGCCUCCGCGACCUCCACCACUCCACCCAGCACCACCAUUACCUCCAUCCACCUGCGCCACCCAGCCAUCUAUUCACUCAUCUUCACCAGCGCCACCAUCUCCACCACAGCGCCAUCACUCCACUGCCGCACCUCGCGCGCCUGACCAGACGGGUGUUUGGGUACCCGCGCGACCCUGCCUUCUGCCGCCGCUCCUCUUCCUUCUCCUUCUCCCGCGCCCUUCUGCUUGCUUCUUCUCCUGAGUCUUCACUGCUGCUCCUUUUGCCUAUCCCUCUGCUGCUCGCUGCAUCCUUCUUCUCUGAACCUCCUUUGUUGCUGCUCCUUCUCUGAAUCUACAGCUGCUACUACUCUCUACUGCUGUUCUUCUUCUUCUUGCGCCCAUGUUGCUGAUAUCUUCAUCCCCACGCUGUUGCUGCUUCUCUUCUUCUUCUAUCCCCAACCCCUGAUGUUGUUCCUUUCUCUUGCUGCGCCCCUGCUCUUCUUCUUCCACAAACCUUGCUGGUGUUAAACUCUCUCUCUCUCUCUCUCUCUCUCUCUGUGUGUGUGUGUGUGUGUGUGUGAUUUCUAUGUAUCAAAGAUGUGUUAGACCUGGUGUUAUUCAGACUUAUGCUUGUUAAGUUGUACUCUGUUGAUCUGCAAGAAGUAGAACAGUUUACUUUCACUUUUGUUGAUGUGUAAGAACUAGCUAUAUAUGUCAUAUAUAUUUUGUGCUAGCUAAUGAUAAUUGUCUCAUUUAUUGUUCAUGUACUAGCUUGG